GACGAACGCUGGCGGCGUGCUUAACACAUGCAAGUCGAACGGAAAGGCCCUGCUUUUGUGGGGUGCUCGAGUGGCGAACGGGUGAGUAACACGUGAGUAACCUGCCCUUGACUUUGGGAUAACUUCAGGAAACUGGGGCUAAUACCGGAUAGGAGCUCCUGCUGCAUGGUGGGGGUUGGAAAGUUUCGGCGGUUGGGGAUGGACUCGCGGCUUAUCAGCUUGUUGGUGGGGUAGUGGCUUACCAAGGCUUUGACGGGUAGCCGGCCUGGGAGGGUGACCGGCCACAUUGGGCCUGAGGUACGGCCCAGACUCCUACGGGAGGCAGCAGUGGGGAAUAUUGCACAAUGGGCGGAAGCCUGAUGCAGCAACGCCGCGUGCGGGAUGACGGCCUUCGGGUUGUAAACCGCUUUCGCCUGUGACGAAGCGUGAGUGACGGUAAUGGGUAAAGAAGCACCGGCUAACUACGUG
rnacentral:rRNA from 1 species